rnacentral:rRNA from 1 species
UACGUAGGGGGCGAGCGUUGUCCGGAUUCAUUGGGCGUAAAGCGCGUGUAGGCGGCCAGAAAAGUCCGCUGUGAAAACUCGAGGCUCAACUUCGAGCUGUCGGUGGAAACUUUCUGGCUAGAGUCCGGAAGAGGAGAAUGGAAUUCCUGGUGUAGCGGUGAAAUGCGCAGAUAUCAGGAAGAACACCCGUGGCGAAGGCGGUUCUCUGGGACGGUACUGACGCUGAGACGCGAAAGCGUGGGGAGCGAACAGG